rnacentral:rRNA from 1 species
UGGCUCAGGAUGAACGCUAGCUACAGGCUUAACACAUGCAAGUCGAGGGGCAGCAUGGUCUUAGCUUGCUAAGGCCGAUGGCGACCGGCGCACGGGUGAGUAACACGUAUCCAACCUGCCGUCUACUCUUGGACAGCCUUCUGAAAGGAAGAUUAAUACAAGAUGGCAUCAUGAGUCCGCAUGUUCACAUGAUUAAAGGUAUUCCGGUAGACGAUGGGGAUGCGUUCCAUUAGAUAGUAGGCGGGGUAACGGCCCACCUAGUCUUCGAUGGAUAGGGGUUCUGAGAGGAAGGUCCCCCACAUUGGAACUGAGACACGGUCCAAACUCCUACGGGAGGCAGCAGUGAGGAAUAUUGGUCAAUGGGCGCAGGCCUGGACCAGCCAAGUAGCGUGAAGGAUGAUUGCCAUAUGGGUUGUAAACUUCUUUUAUAUGGGAAUAAAGUUUUCCACGUGUGGAAUUUUGUAUGUACACAUAUGAACAAGGA